rnacentral:rRNA from 1 species
UACGUAGGGUGCGAGCGUUGUCCGGAUUUACUGGGCGUAAAGCGCACGUAGGCGGAUCGAUCAGUCAGGGGUGAAAUCCCAGGGCUCAACCCUGGAACUGCCUUUGAUACUGUCGAUCUGGAGUAUGGAAGAGGUGAGUGGAAUUCCGAGUGUAGAGGUGAAAUUCGUAGAUAUUCGGAGGAACACCAGUGGCGAAGGCGGCUCACUGGUCCAUUACUGACGCUGAGGUGCGAAAGCGUGGGGAGCAAACAGG